rnacentral:lncRNA from 1 species
AUGAAUGUGUGUGGUGCAGGUUCAGUGGUGCAGCUUGGCAUGGUGAAUGAAAAGGAUUACCGUGAAGAUCCUCAAGACUACAAUCAUGGCAUACCACCAUUAAAGCGAUCAGAACCAAAUAUUCCUGUUGAUGUUCUUCUUGAGGCAACUAAGCCAAUCCAGCCGUUCCCUUGGGAUUCAGAAACAGACUUGAAAGUUGAUGGCUAA